GAUGAACGCUGGCGGCGUGCCUAAUACAUGCAAGUCGAGCGAACAGACGAGGAGCUUGCUCCUCUGACGUUAGCGGCGGACGGGUGAGUAACACGUGGAUAACCUACCUAUAAGACUGGGAUAACUUCGGGAAACCGGAGCUAAUACCGGAUAAUAUAUUGAACCGCAUGGUUCAAUAGUGAAAGACGGUUUUGCUGUCACUUAUAGAUGGAUCCGCGCCGCAUUAGCUAGUUGGUAAGGUAACGGCUUACCAAGGCAACGAUGCGUAGCCGACCUGAGAGGGUGAUCGGCCACACUGGAACUGAGACACGGUCCAGACUCCUACGGGAGGCAGCAGUAGGGAAUCUACCGCAAUGGGCGAAGGCUUGACGGAGCAACGCCGCGUGAGUGAUGAAGGUCUUCGGAUCGUAAAACUCUGUUAUUAGGGAAGAACAAAUGUGUAAGUAACUUUGCACGUCUUGACGGUACCUAAUCAGAAAGCCACGGCUAACUACGUG
rnacentral:rRNA from 1 species